rnacentral:rRNA from 1 species
CGUAAACAGAGGGAGGCGAAGGAGCGAUCCGGAGCAAACCCCAAAAAUAAACGUCCCAGUUCGGAUUGCAGGCUGCAACCCGCCUGCAUGAAGCUGGAAUCGCUAGUAAUCGCGGAUCAGAAUGCCGCGGUGAAUACGUUCCCGGGUCUUGUACACACCGCCCGUCACACCAUGGGAGUCGGUAACGCCCGAAGUCAGUGACCCAACCGUAAGGAGGGAGCUGCCGAAGGCGGGACUGGUAACUGGGGUGAAGUCGUAACAAGGUAUC